CGCCAGACUCCUACGGGAGGCAGCAGUGGGGAAUAUUGCACAAUGGGGGGAACCCUGAUGCAGCGACGCCGCGUGGGUGAAGGAGCACCUCGGUGCGUAAAGCCCUAUCGGCAGGGAAGAAAAGCGAACAGGUUCGCCUGGACGGUACCUGACUAAGAAGCCCCGGCUAACUACGUGCCAGCAGCCGCGGUAAUACGUAGGGGGCAAGCGUUAUCCGGAUUUACUGGGUGUAAAGGGAGCGUAGACGGAUGGAUAAGUCUGAAGUGAAGGCCCGCGGCUCAACUGCGGGACUGCUCUGGAAACUGCGUCGCUGGAGUACGGGAGGGGCAGGCGGAAUUCCUGGUGUAGCGGUGAAAUGCGUAGAUAUCAGGAGGAACACCGGCGGCGAAGGCGGCCUGCUGGACCGUGACUGACGUUGAGGCUCGAGAGCGUGGGGAGCAAACAGGAUUAGAUACCCUUGUA
rnacentral:rRNA from 1 species